CGGGGAAUUUUGGACAAUGGGCGCAAGCCUGAUCCAGCCAUGCCGCGUGCGGGAAGAAGGCCUUCGGGUUGUAAACCGCUUUUGUCAGGGAAGAAAAGCUCCGGGCUAAUACCCUGGGGUGCUGACGGUACCUGAAGAAUAAGCACCGGCUAACUAUGUGCCAGCAGCCGCGGUAAUACGUAGGGUGCGAGCGUUAAUCGGAAUUACUGGGCGUAAGGAGUGCGCAGGCGGUUGUGCAAGACAGAUGUGAAAUCCCCGGGCUUAACCUGGGAACUGCAUUCGUGACUGCACGGCUGGAGUGCGGCAGAGGGGAAUGGAAUUCCGCGUGUAGCAGUGAAAUGCGUAGAUAUGCGGAGGAACACCGAUGGCGAAGGCAGUUCCCUGGGCCUGCACUGACGCUCAUGCACGAAAGCGUGGGGAGCAAUCAG
rnacentral:rRNA from 1 species